GAGGAAUAUUGGACAAUGGGUGAGAGCCUGAUCCAGCCAUCCCGCGUGAAGGAUGACGGUCCUACGGAUUGUAAACUUCUUUUGUAUAGGGAUAAACCUCUCUACGUGUAGAGAGCUGAAGGUACUAUACGAAUAAGCACCGGCUAACUCCGUGCCAGCAGCCGCGGUAAUACGGAGGGUGCAAGCGUUAUCCGGAUUUAUUGGGUUUAAAGGGUCCGCAGGCGGGCCGAUAAGUCAGUGGUGAAAUCUCAUAGCUUAACUAUGAAACUGCCAUUGAUACUGGCGGUCUUGAGUAAAUUAGAGGUAGCUGGAAUAAGUAGUGUAGCGGUGAAAUGCAUAGAUAUUACUUAGAACACCAAUUGCGAAGGCAGGUUACCAUGAUUUAACUGACGCUGAGGGACGAAAGCGUGGGGAGCGAAC
rnacentral:rRNA from 1 species